CCACCGUCCUGUGAUCCCCCUUCCCCAGUUACACUAUUUGCUCCUUUAUUCUGGAGAGAGAGGAAGUCUGCUUAUCUUUUAUAUCUUUAUUUAGAAAGAAAAAAACAACUGCGAAAGAAGGGAAGAACAGAGAAGAAAGUCCAGGAUUUAAAGCAAGUCUCAGAUAUCUAUUUUAUAUUGCUAGGUUUGAGCUGUAUUUUAUUGUGGGGUACGGGUGCUCUCCUCUUUUUCUAUUUCUAAAUGCAAAAUCCAGAGCGGGGGAGAGGGAGAAUUGAGUCAGCGCAUCCCUUUCUCCCCUUAUUGCUUCCCACAGUAUUUUUUGUUUCCCG